rnacentral:rRNA from 1 species
AUUGAACGCUGGCGGCAUGCUUUACACAUGCAAGUCGAACGAGUGGCGAACGGGUGAGUAAUGCAUCGGAACGUGCCCAGAGGUGGGGGAUAACGCAGCGAAAGCUGUGCUAAUACCGCAUACCUUUGGAGCGGCCGAUGUCAGAUUAGGUAGUUGGUGGGGCAAAGGCCUACCACGCCGACGAUCUGUAGCUGUGCUGAGAGGACGACCAGCCACACUGGGACUGAGACACGGCCCAGACUCCUACGGGAGGCAGCAGUGGGGAAUUUUGGACAAUGGGCGCAAGCCUGAUCCAGCAAUGCCGCGUGCAGGAAGAAGGCCUUCGGGUUGUAAACUGCUUUUGUACGGAACGCGGUACCGUAAGAAUAAGCACCGGCUAACUACGUGCCAGCAGCCGCGGUAAUUC